GACGAACGCUGGCGGCGUGCUUAACACAUGCAAGUCGAACGGAAAGGCCCUGCUUUUGUGGGGUGCUCGAGUGGCGAACGGGUGAGUAACACGUGAGUAACCUGCCCUUGACUUUGGGAUAACUUCAGGAAACUGGGGCUAAUACCGGAUAGGAGCUCCUGCUGCAUGGUGGGGGUUGGAAAGUUUCGGCGGUUGGGGAUGGACUCGCGGCUUAUCAGCUUGUUGGUGGGGUAGUGGCUUACCAAGGCUUUGACGGGUAGCCGGCCUGAGAGGGUGAACGGCGACAUUGGGACUGAGAUACGGCCCAGACUCCUACGGGAGGCAGCAGGGGGGAAUAUUGCACAAUGGGCGGAAGCCUGAUGCAGCAACGCCGCGUGCGGGAUGACGGCCUUCGGGUUGUAAACCGCUUUCGCCUGUGACGAAGCGUGAGUGACGGUAAUGGGUAAAGAAGCACCGGCUAACUACGUG
rnacentral:rRNA from 1 species